rnacentral:rRNA from 1 species
AUGAACGCUGGCGGCGUGCCUAAUACAUGCAAGUCGAACGAGUUCUCGUUGAUGAUCGGUGCUUGCACCGAGAUUCAACAUGGAACGAGUGGCGGACGGGUGAGUAACACGUGGGUAACCUGCCCUUAAGUGGGGGAUAACAUUUGGAAACAGAUGCUAAUACCGCAUAGAUCCAAGAACCGCAUGGUUCUUGGCUGAAAGAUGGCGUAAGCUAUCGCUUUUGGAUGGACCCGCGGCGUAUUAGCUAGUUGGUGAGGUAAUGGCUCACCAAGGCGAUGAUACGUAGCCGAACUGAGAGGUUGAUCGGCCACAUUGGGACUGAGACACGGCCCAAACUCCUACGGGAGGCAGCAGUAGGGAAUCUUCCACAAUGGACGCAAGUCUGAUGGAGCAACGCCGCGUGAGUGAAGAAGGCUUUCGGGUCGUAAAACUCUGUUGUUGGAGAAGAAUGGUCGGCAGAGUAACUGUUGUCGGCGUGACGGUAUCCAACCAGAAAGCCACGGCUAACUACGUGCCAGCAGCCGCGGUAAUACGUAGGUGGCAAGCGUUAUCCGGAUUUAUUGGGCGUAAAGCGAGCGCAGGCGGUUUUUUAAGUCUGAUGUGAAAGCCCUCGGCUUAACCGAGGAAGCGCAUCGGAAACUGGGAAACUUGAGUGCAGAAGAGGACAGUGGAACUCCAUGUGUAGCGGUGAAAUGCGUAGAUAUAUGGAAGAACACCAGUGGCGAAGGCGGCUGUCUGGUCUGUAACUGACGCUGAGGCUCGAAAGCAUGGGUAGCGAACAGGAUUAGAUACCCUGGUAGUCCAUGCCGUAAACGAUGAAUGCUAGGUGUUGGAGGGUUUCCGCCCUUCAGUGCCGCAGCUAACGCAUUAAGCAUUCCGCCUGGGGAGUACGACCGCAAGGUUGAAACUCAAAGGAAUUGACGGGGGCCCGCACAAGCGGUGGAGCAUGUGGUUUAAUUCGAAGCAACGCGAAGAACCUUACCAGGUCUUGACAUCUUUUGAUCACCUGAGAGAUCAGGUUUCCCCUUCGGGGGCAAAAUGACAGGUGGUGCAUGGUUGUCGUCAGCUCGUGUCGUGAGAUGUUGGGUUAAGUCCCGCAACGAGCGCAACCCUUAUGACUAGUUGCCAGCAUUUAGUUGGGCACUCUAGUAAGACUGCCGGUGACAAACCGGAGGAAGGUGGGGAUGACGUCAAAUCAUCAUGCCCCUUAUGACCUGGGCUACACACGUGCUACGAUGGAUGGUACAACGAGUUGCGAGACCGCGAGGUCAAGCUAAUCUCUUAAAGCCAUUCUCAGUUCGGACUGUAGGCUGCAACUCGCCUACACGAAGUCGGAAUCGCUAGUAAUCGCGGAUCAGCACGCCGCGGUGAAUACGUUCCCGGGCCUUGUACACACCGCCCGUCACACCAUGAGAGUUUGUAACACCCGAAGCCGGUGGCGUAACCCUUUUAGGGAGCGAGCCGUCUAAGGUGGGACAAAUGAUUAGGGUG